GGCACUAGGACCCUGACGUAGUACGGUCGCGAUUCAGAAAGCAUUAAAGAAGACAAGAUGGCGCUUCACAUCGCUCAGUCAUUGAGUCUGCCCAUGCCAUUUCCGGCGCUUCGCCGGAUCUUAUCUAGACAGACAAAUGCUUGGAUAGACAACAGAAUAAUCACCAUCACGUUCUGAGGUCAGCGACAAUGAAUAUAUUCCUCAAUUGGCUAAAGAAACAGUGACAGUUGAUCAGAAAAUAUCAAACAGCACAAGAUUAAGAAACAAAAGGUACAGGAAACAUUUUCAGCUGCCAUUUGGAAAGUAGAUGUUCAACCACUCAAGAGAAGGUGUACGACAAAUUCCAGUUCGCCGACUGCACCUGAGACGAAUCCUCACCUGAUGCAAAUGACUCCUGAGAUGACUCCUCACCUGAUGCGAAUGGCACCAGAGACUCAUCCUCACCUGAUGCGAAUGACUCCUGAGAUGACUCCUCACCUGAUGCGAAUGGCACCAGAGACUCAUCCUCACCUGAUGUGAAUGCCACCAGAGACUCAUCCUCAAACCAGCUCUAUGUAAAUAUACUGAGCCAGUUACAGACGGUGUGAAUGCACUGUAAAAAUACAUAAUAAAAUUACAAAAUAACUGGUGUUAUAGAAUGUUCAGCAAUGAUCUGUAGUAAUGAGAAUGCCAUUCACAAUGUGCUCAUGUUCAAGCAAAUCUGUGACACCAAAUGGAGUGAGUGUGUCAUCCAAGGUCAGGAAUUUGAGUGAGGCAAAGUUGAAUGCUCCCCAACUACUUCCUUUUGCUGUAGAUGUGAAGAAGAUGCACCAGUACCUGAGCAUACAAAGGCUGGAGUGCAAAACAAAACUUAGAAAAGAGCCAAGUAAGAAGCACUGGACAAAACUUGCAAAAAUCACAUGUUGUGAAGCACAUGGCCACAAUGUCUAUGGUCCUCAACUUGAAGGACAACGAAAAUAGAUGAUCUUGCAGACUUUCUUGGGCAUGAUAUUAGAGUACAUCGCGAUUAUUACAGGCUGCCCGAAGGGACAUUCCAUCUGGUGAAGAUAAGUAAAGUUCGCAUGGCCCUGGAACGAGGACAGCUGUCUGAAUUUAAAGGAAGAAAUCUUGAUGAGACCAACAUUAAUCCAGAAGAGGAUUUAGCUGUAGACAGCGGUGCAUUAGAUACUUCAACCUCACUUUCAUCUACACAAUCAUCAGGUAUGCAAAAUAAUCAUAGAACUUUUACUUAAAUAAAGUAUAUGAUUACUUCAUUUACUACUGAGAAUACUGCAAUACUAUGAGACCAUGAUAUUUUACCGUUGCGACUAUAAUGU